GGGGCGCCGCCCCGACCCCAGCUCCAUCUCCGCCUUAUUCCCGGCUGGAGCCCACUCGCCGCCCAACCCAACUCCCACUCCGCCUUCUUCCCGGAGGAAGCCCGCGUCACCGCCCCAACCCCCGCGCCCGCUCCGCGUUCUUCCCGGCGGCCGGCCCCAACUCCCGCCCCACCUUCUUCCCGGCGGCAGCAUAGAAUCCCCGCCCUACCUUCACCGACGGUACCACCACAUCUACAUCGUCCGCCUCCUUCCCCGGCCGUAGCUCCCGACCACCCACACCCGAAAAAACCUAGGCGCCCAUCCCCGCGCUCGAAUCCCACCUCCACCGGCGCCGGGAGCUCCCCACCACCCAUGCGCCGCCUCCCGCGAAACUACCAGCCCGGCGGCGUCCCUCCUCCCAGCUCGGCGCGCCGGCCAUCUCCUUCGCUGCAGCUCGCGCGCCGCCAAAUCCCCUCCCCUGCAGUUUUUGAGCCGCAAAAUCCCAUCCCCUGGACCUGGCGCGGCGUGCUCCCCUUCCCUGCAGCUCGCGCAGAGCCCUUUCCCACAUGUGCAGCUUGCACGACGUCGCUCCUGGCACUCCACUUCAUCUCGACCGGCGUCUCCCUAGGACCGUCGAGCGACGGGACGCCGUGGCCACCACAGGAGUCCACCAGAGCCCGCGCUCGAAUCCCUCGCCCAGUGAUGCUCCUCAUCGCUGCUCUGGACCCCGGCGGCCUGGCCCUCCCGAGCUCUGCCGACAGCCUCAGCCCCUGCUGCAUCGCAUCUGGAGACAACAGCGACAAUACAUUGGCAGCACGGGGGAAGUUUGCUUCUGUUAUCCCCUGUUUCUCUUUUACUUCUUAAAUAGUGCGUCCACAACUGCUAAUCUGGCCUCCGUCUCUCCUAAUCUAUUUCCAUGGUGGCAAGGCUCUGGUUCAGGCUAUAAUUUCACUUCAUGUUUGGAUUGAUUUUGCUGUUGGUUGAUUUUAGAAUUGCUGGUGACGUUGUAAUGCUUCUGAACUACUGCUAGUGUGUCUAAAUUUUUUUUUACAAGCAAAGUUUGGACGAUUACAUCACACAAAAUAAUUUCUGAAGUUCACUUUUUGGUAUCAGAAAAGUUCUUUGCUUGUUUCUUUGACGAUGUAAAUAGUACAUGAAAUAUAUGCAUUUGCUGUUGAUGUGUGUCUAAUAGGAAAAUAACUCAAGUUCACCCUUUUGUAUUGAAAAAGUUCACUUCUAUAUUUCCAGGAGCUCGGGGAGCACAAGGUCAUUCUCGAUUUGUUGUCGUGCCAGUGGAGUCCAGGAGAAGUUCAGCUGUGUGAGCCCACUGGUUGCCGCGGCGGGAGUUCAAGAGUAAGAUAAGAAAUGAUAUAGGCAUGAAAGCUACCGCCGUUGCUCCUGGUGCUUGGCCUCGCCAACGACCUCACAACCAGGCCCGUACCUCGCUGCUGUUCUGAAGUCCGGAUGGUGCUGCUCAUAACUGCCCUCUACGUUGCCCAGGAAGUUUACAUCUAGAAAUUAGUAGUAAACUGUGCCCGGCGCACCAGUAGGCAAGACAACCCGCAACUGACCUCCAAUGGUAUAAGCCUCAUGCUCUCUUUGCAAAAAGAAGGUAUGAUAACAGUUCCAAAAACUACAGCACAAGCACAUUUUUAUUUUGGAAGUGCAGAUAAAUUUCCAUUUUUUGAAGUUCGUUCUUCGUUUCCAAGGAAAUAUGAUUUGUCAACUAUACUGCCACGUUGAAUGCUUGUAUUGAGCUGCUUCUUGUUUCACUCUGAACUACAUGAUGCUUCUUUUCUCGUGAACUCAUGUUAUGUUCGUUACUGAUGUAGUACUAAUGCAUGAAAAAAACCUGUGCAGUGCAAAUUUGAUGAUUUUGGUAUUUCUAGGAUAAGCAAAAGUUUCAAGUUCACUGAAACACAUGUUCACAAUUAUCUAAAGGAGAAGUUCCAAUUAUUUUGUCUACGCACUUCACACUGACAUGCUAUUGAAUUCUCCAGUAUGUCAAAAUAUUAAAAGUAGUAAACUGUAUUUUUUUCUGAAUCAUUCAUAAAACAGGAAGUUCGCAUGGAAGUUAACGGAAUGCAUCGAGAAUUUCAUUAUCUUUUCUGUUCGGGAAGUUUACUUUAAUUUUCCAUGGAGUUCACUUUUGUAUGACAUGGCCUUGAGGAAUAAGAAAUUGCUCCUUUUGGUUUAAUAAGUGACCAUCUCAUAAGCACACCUCGUUCACGCAUGAAGUUCACUUAUUUUGGUUUGCAAGUUUGAUUUGUCCAUGGAUGGAUUUCUUUGGCACGUUGGAUGAAUACCAAUGUGCUACACUUGCCCCCUGUCCAGGCCAGUUCAAUAUUUCUUCUGAAGUUCAGUUCAGUGUCGUGGUAUUAUAAUAUUACCUCAGCCAAGGGUUUGACGAGAUAUUGGUGAUCUGGUGUGGAUACAAGUACUUCAAUUGCAACCUGUAUGCUGCUUCAAAAGGU